rnacentral:tRNA from 1 species
GGGCCGGUCGUCUAGUCUGGUAGGAUAGAGGAUGUCGUCCAAUCCCUUGGCAAAGAAUUCCAGAUUGGGACAGGUCGGGGGUUCAAAUCCCCCCCGGUCCA